GAGGGGUGGGGGGACUGGUACGAAAUGUAAGAAAGCGGCAUCAAUACAGGAAACAUAUGGACAAUACAACUGCAACUCCACGGGGUCUUUUCCACCUGAGAGCCAAAACUGGAUUAAAUUUAUUUUGGGACCUUUGACUCUUUCUUUUAUGCCGGAUUUAUCAAGGAAACAGUCUUGGCAUAAGCAGCAGGAUCAGAUGACACAGGCGGACUCCUCGCUGGCUGCAGCAUUGUGUAACAUCAGCCAGUGCUGUACUUUUCAUCCUGGACUGUCGGAGGAGAAGUUCUGUCCUGUGCUGGAUCAGCCAAGAGAAAGAAUGCCAUGUGUUUUGAUGAAUAGUAGGACAAGAAUGAUGAUCUGGGUUAAAUUUAAAUAGACGAAAAAGGGCAUAAAAAUGCUACGGUGUGCUCUCACUCACUCUCAGGCCCCCUCUGUGAAGUGUUCAGGCUAAGUGUUUCAUGGUCAGAGGAGGUGUGGAAGGAUGAAGGUGCAAGAUGGACAGUAAGGGUGUUGGGCUGAGAAGUAAUAAGAAGGUAAAUCAGAUGGUUGAAGCUGAAAGGGGGCUAAAAGUGUGCUGUCACAGUAGGAGAGCUAUGUACUUGGCUUAACCUAUCUGUUGUCUUUAAUGGAGUUGAAAUGUAGCUUCAGAAAUAAAGGAAAAUGUUAACAAAGAGAGGUGGAAAGUGGCCUCCUUCAUUAUUGUUUAAAAAGCACAGAGUGUCCAAAUUGCAGAAGCAUGCCCAUGAAAAAAUGUUGACUAUAGCAAGGAAGAUCUUAUUUUAGACUUUCAAGCCACACCCAAAGGGAGGUCAAGCCUGCACCAUCUCCCUUCUUCUCCCUCCUCUCAUCCCCUCUUCUUUUUGUUAACAAGAAGCAUCAGUAGGGUCGACACCUUAAAUCAGAACUUUAAAGUCUCACCCAUCUAUCUAUGUUUCCUUAGGAUCCCCACAGCAACACCGCUCCUCCAGUGACGGACGACGGCGUGAGAGCUCUUAGCCAGACUUGAGCAACAAAAGAGUCACAGCAGGUGGCAUGUAAAAGAUUUAGACUAUUGACCUGUUAAAUUCAGCUCUGGCAAAAACAUUUGAAAAAAAUAGAGUUGCAGGAAAAAAAUCCCUCUCAGCCCUAUUAUAAGAUGAAACCUGUUGCUAGUGGAAACAGUGCAGAGAUACACUAUAGCACAACGACACUGCUGCCACCAUGGACAUGAAACGACAUCCAGCCUCUCUAAGGCCAAUACAAGAAAAUUCUUUUUGUUCUUUUGGGUCAAAAGCAGCAGCUAAAAUCAUUUAUUUCCAUGCAUUAAACCCAGGUUGGCAUAAAAAUGAACAUAUUGGAAAUUAAAGGCUUUUAAAGCUGAAAAAUACCCCUUAAAGUUGUUGCAAUUUUUCUGACUUGACAGCAGUAGUGUUUUAAUUAUUCCCCUUUACCUUGUGGUUCUAUAUUUAAAUGUCAGUUUCACUCCAUAAUGAAACACUUCUUAUUUUUGUAACACCCUGAUUGAGAACUCUGUUCUCUGAUUAUGUUUUCUUUGUUGUACACAGAUGUCUAUUGCUGUACAUAUAUGUGUCUAAUUCAAAUUCUAUUAAGCAAAAACUGUAAACAAGUCAAUGAAACAUUGAAGGACAUCUGUAAGUUUCUGCGCCUGAUACUGGUGACCCACAUAAAUCCAGAUCAUGUAUUUUUUUACACUUAAACUGACCCGAAAUCCUGCAAAAAGUCCCACAAAAAGACAUCAAGUGAUUUGAUGGGAGAAGACCGUGUGAAUCUCAAUGUGUGCAGGUAGUAUUUUAAACAUUAGUGAGGGAAGAAUGGUCAGACUUUCUAUAUGCACAUGUAUUAAAUGGAAAUAAAGGCUUGGUCGGGUGUACUAAUACAGGCAUUAAUGUUAGCUUCGCUACUGUAGCCAGGCUGUGUGCAUCAGCAGCAGAAGGGAGCCUGGAGCUGCACCAACAUCAUGCCGAGUCUGCUUUCAUAUCCAGCCUGCUCUCAUGCUGCUGAUUCAGGAUCCCUCUCCACUAAGACUGUACAAACAACAGCCUUCGACUACUUGAAUAAGCAGACUGGCAUCAAAGAGCACAAGAUGAAGAGGCCAGAAACAUCCUGAAUGAGGAGAUGCAGAUCAAACCUGCCACGCCUGGAAGAAGCCGCCCUCCAACUGAACCUAAUCAACACCCUGUUGAUCCCUGGAAAAUGGCAGGAAACUGUUUAGUAAGCAUUAAUAAGCUUUUUGAGGUUUAUUUCAGUCUUGUCAUUUGAGUGUGUGUCAUUAAAAUGCCUAAAUGAUUAUACUGGUUUUUAGCACAGUCAGAGAAAUCUGAAAACAACGGUCUAUUUGUGCCCUCACUAAUCUUUCUCUGUGUUGUAAGUCUCUGUGAAAACAUUUCUUUCUUUGCAGGCAUGCUGUGAGUGUAAUGUGUGUUUUGCUUUUCUGUAAGUGUCACUAAAAUGCAGACAGGACCUUGGACAGGAAGGUACUGGAAUAAAAGGCUUGAUUGUGUGCUUAA